GGCUCUCUGUUUACAUAAAUAUAGGGAGUCGAGCCUGCCCAGUGAAUUUUUAAACGGCCGCGGUACUCUGACCGUGCAAAGGUAGCAUAAUCAUUUGCCUUAUAAUUGAAGGCUAGUAUGAAUGGUUUGACGAGAGCAACACUGUCUCCUUUUUAUUUUCAAGAACUUAACUUUUAGGUGAAGAGGCCUAAAUUUUAUUGAAGGACAAGAAGACCCUAUCGAGCUUAAAAGACAUUAUAGAAGUUUAUAUAUUUCUAAAUAAAUUUUCUAUUGAGCUUUUUAGUUGGGGCGACUAAGGAACAAAAAAAGCUUCUUGCUGAUAAUAGACAGUCAUGUUUAGAUCCGAUAAUAAUCGAUCAAAGAAAUUAGUUACCGUAGGGAUAACAGCAUAAUCUCUCUUGAGAGACCUAAUCGAAAGAGGGGGUUGUGACCUCGAUGUUGGACUAGAAUAUCCUAAAGAUGUAGAAGUCUUUGAAAGGUCGGUCUGUUCGACCGUUAAAAUUCU
rnacentral:rRNA from 1 species